rnacentral:lncRNA from 1 species
AUGAACUGGGACCACUGUUUUGCAAUCAAUAGACCUGAAAAAACUAAUGAGAUUUUGCAACCCAAGCCACCUCAGGGCUUUGCUCACCCAGCAUGUCAAGACUGCUUUGGCGGAACAGGCGGAAGAAACCAACAAGAAGGUUCAACGGCUGAGAUGGCGACGCAGCAAAGCACAGUGGAGUGCUUAGGGUGUGUUGGAGCACAAAAGACAACAGGGCCAUUGAAUGCAGCUGAGGAAGUCUCCAGGUGUAACGACUUUUCGUGCCAAUGGACCCAGGCUUCCAAUGCCGAGAGAGUGGGACUGUCUCUGUGCAUCGACUUUUCCACUUAAAUCUUCAUGCACAAGUGUCUUUGUGCACAAAAACGCACAAAGACAAUCAUCAUCCUCGGUUCGAGAGACAACCAACAUAUCUGAUUAUAUAUAUAUAUAUAUAUAUGAUGCACCAUUAAUCUCCUUUUUCUGCAAAGAAAAUGAAGGUGUUUGUUUUUUUCAGGUUUCUUCCAUAUUCAUACUUGGUCAUUAAGUAGUACUAAGUUUCUUUCUCCUUACUAGCAGAAAUAUAUACUUUUAUGUAUAAUAUUUGUAGCAGUUAGUGUAUAUGUUAUUUUCAUCAUUCUGUUCUUUCCACUCUUCAAUUAAUCCAUACAGAUCUUCCCAAGGUACUUGGAAUAUCUCAUAUCUUUCAUACAUUAUAGUGAAGUUAUAUUAAACAAUCCCAUUACAUCCAAGUACCACAAUCUGACAAUUUGUCUAGUGAUUGUUUAAUGAAUGGGUAUCUGUUUUCUUUCCUAUCUUAAUCUACCACAGAAAUUAUUGCUAUUAAUAUUUUCAAAUAUAUGUGAUCUUUCUUUGAGUGCCAUGGAAUCCAUAAUUAGCACUGAGAUCACUGGGUCAACGACUAUGGAUUCAUGAAAUUGCCUUGUAAUUAUUGUGUAUCCAUUUUGCAACUGCUUUUAUGAUUAUCGGUUGUCUUCUGGUUAGAAUAUAACUGACUUAACAGUUGGGGCUAUUUCAUGUUUGUUCUGAUAUCCCUAAUAACUUAUACUACGUACACAGUUAGUGCUAAAUAAAUGUAUACUGGUCAGCUGAUAGUUUUUUAUC